GGAGUGGUGGUUCAGUAAGGAGAGCCCCUGUUUUGCAAGCAGAAGGUCCCAGGUUAAAUCCCUGGCAUCUCCA
rnacentral:tRNA from 1 species